AGAGAACAGCAGGCUAGUCUACAUUUAUUCAUCAGCUAUCUUGGGACUGACCUCAAAUGUUUUUGGUUUGUUUAUUUGUUUAUUCUCUUAUGUAAAUGUCUACUGUACAAUAAUAAUAAACAUCCUAUCACAAAUAACUCUUAAAACCGCUUCCUCAGUCCCAAGUAGAAGUAGCACUAUCAGGGGCUGUGAUAGGAUGGAUGGGCUGUGUAGGAGUGUUCCAGCAGGUUCUGAAGGGGCUCUGAUAGGAUGGAUGGGCUGUGUGGGAGUGUUCCAGUAGGUUCUGAAGGGGCUGUGAUAGGAUGGAUGGGCUGUGUGGGAGUGUUCCAGUAGGUUCUGAAGGGGCUGUGAUAGGAUGGAUGGGCUGUGUGGGAGUGUUCCAGUGGGUUCUGAAGGGGUUGUGAUAGGAUGGAUGGGCUGUGUGGGAGUGUUCCAGCAGGUUCUGAAGGGGUUGUGAUAGGAUGGAUGGGCUGUGUGGGAGUGUUCCAGUGGGUUCUGAAGGGGCUGUGAUAGGAUGGACAGGACAUCUGUGAGACAGAUGUGUUGACUGACCUAUAGG